AAUGAGGUGAAGUGAGGUGAGGUUCAGAGGAGGAUGAAGACCUGAAGGCGUGUCCUCCUGGUCCUCUGGUCCUGGGUGUGAUCCUGAAUUGGAUGGGUGGGGGGCAUCUCUACCAGCUGCAUGGCGAAAUAAAAGCCCCGCCCCUUCUUGCUCAGGGCCACAAAGGAUGAAAGGGGACAUCAGUGCUUCUCUGUGCAGCAGGUUUGGGCUCACAGCUGCAGUCGCACUCCGAGGAAAGACGAUACUCACAACAGUAGUCGGAGGUCAGGGAAGCGUGACCGAAGCCAGUUGCUGAGUUGACCUCCAAC
ensembl:lncRNA